rnacentral:rRNA from 1 species
UGGGGAAUAUUGGACAAUGGACCAAAAGUCUGAUCCAGCAAUUCUGUGUGCACGAUGACGUUUUUCGGAAUGUAAAGUGCUUUCAGUUGGGAAGAAAAAAAAUGACGGUACCAACAGAAGAAGUGACGGCUAAAUACGUGCCAGCAGCCGCGGUAAUACGUAUGUCACAAGCGUUAUCCGGAUUUAUUGGGCGUAAAGCGCGUCUAGGUGGUUAUGUAAGUCUGAUGUGAAAAUGCAGGGCUCAACUCUGUAUUGCGUUGGAAACUGCAUGACUAGAGUACUGGAGAGGUAAGCGGAACUACAAGUGUAGAGGUGAAAUUCGUAGAUAUUUGUAGGAAUGCCGAUGGGGAAGCCAGCUUACUGGACAGAUACUGACGCUAAAGCGCGAAAGCGUGGGUAGCAAACAGGAUUAGAUACCCUGGUAGUCCAUGCCGUAAACGAUGAUUACUAGGUGUUGGGGGUCGAACCUCAGCGCCCAAGCUAACGCGAUAAGUAAUCCGCCUGGGGAGUACGUACGCAAGUAUG